UACGUAGGGGGCAAGCGUUGUCCGGAAUCAUUGGGCGUAAAGCGCGUGUAGGCGGCUCGAUAAGUCUGCUGUGAAAGUCCAAGGCUCAACCUUGGGAUGCCGGUGGAUACUGUCGAGCUCGAGUCCGGAAGAGGAGUGUGGAAUUCCUGGUGUAGCGGUGAAAUGCGCAGAUAUCAGGAAGAACACCAAUGGCGAAGGCAGCUCUCUGGGACGGUACUGACGCUGAGACGCGAAAGCGUGGGGAGCGAACAGG
rnacentral:rRNA from 1 species